AGGGCACCACCAGGAGUGGAGCCUGCGGCUUAAUUUGACUCAACACGGGAAAACUCACCCGGCCCGGACACUGGAAGGAUUGACAGAUUGAGAGCUCUUUCUUGAUUCAGUGGGUGGUGGUGCAUGGCCGUUCUUAGUUGGUGGAGCGAUUUGUCUGGUUAAUUCCGAUAACAAACGAGACUCUAGCCUACUAGUUAGCCGGCCCGGUCGUUAUGCGCCCGGGCAGCGAGCUUCUUAGAGGGACAGACGGCGAGUAAGCCGUACGAGAUAGAGCAAUAACAGGUCUGUGAUGCCCUUAGAUGACCGGGGCCGCACGCGCGCUACACUGAAGUGAUCAGCACGCUAGCAAGCCCGCUCCGAGAGGAGCGGGUAACCGUUUGAACCCCCUUCAUGAUAGGGAUCGAGCUUUGUAACUAUUGCUCAUGAACGAGGAAUUCCCUGUAGGCGUGAGUCAUUACCUUACGCCGAUUACGUCCCUGCCCUUUGUACACACCGCCCGUCGCUACUACCGAUUGAAUG
rnacentral:rRNA from 1 species